UUUUUUUUAAUAAGAAUAUAUAUUAUGGCUUCUGGAUCUGGAAGGAAACUUGCAUGUGAAUGGAAUGAUGUGACUAAAUUAUCAAAAACUUUUUCCAGAAAAGUAAUACUGCAGUGCCUGUGCAAUUAUUGUAAUGAAAUUAUAAAUAGCCAAAAAGUAGAAAGAAUUAGAAUUCAUUUAAAUAAAUGUAAAAAAAAAGCAACCAUCUGCUGAUGUUGCAGAACAAAAUAAGAAUUUUAUUUUAAAUAAUGGCCAAGUAUCAUUUCAGGCAUCUGUAAACUUGUUGUGUGAUUUUGUUAGCCCAGUUGCUUCAGAGUCUUUUGAAGCAUCAAGCACUUCUGGUGUCUUUGAGAGUAGUUACUCUGGUUCAACACCAACCCCAUAUAAAAAACAAAAGUUAAUAGAAAAUUACAUAUCAAGAACAAGCUCAAAUCAAAACGAUGUUUUUGGCUUGCAAGUUGCCAAAUUUUUUUUGCUUGCAAUAUUCCAUUUAAUGCAGUACAAAAUAGAGAAUUUAAAAAAUGUAUUAAUUUUUUGAGACCUGGUUAUGAUACUCCAAACCGGAAGAAACUUUCAGGAGAGUUACUGGAUAAAGUGAACUAUGAAGUAAUUGUAUCUAUGAAAAGUGAAUAUGCAAAUAAUAGGAGUACUAUUACAUUGAUACAAGAUGGUUGAAGCAGUGUCAGAAAUGAUCCAAUUAUUGCUCACAGUGUACAUAACGGAAAGACCCCAUAUUUAAUCUCCGCUAUAGAUGCAGAAAGUGAAAAAAAACUUCAGAAUAUUGUGCUCAAUUAGCCAUUGAAGCAAUAAAACACAUCAAGAAGGUUUAUGAACAAGAUGUAUUUGCCAUUUGUACAGAUAAUGAGAACAAAAUGAAAAAGAUGAAAGAAAUUUUCAAAGAAGAAUAUCCAUUGCUACUUACAUAUGGAUGCUCAGCUCAUUACUUAAAUUUAGUUGAGAAGCAGGUGACACCAAGUUUUCUGGCACAUUUAAUUGAAGUUAACAAAUACUUCCGAAAUCAUCACCAACCACGUGUGAGUAAAUAUUGUAAUCAUCACCAACCACGUAGAUGGCUUUUGGAUGAUAGGAAUGGAGUUAUGCCGCAACUUCCUAAUGAUACACAAUGGAACUCUUAAGUAGACUGUUUAAAGACUUAUAUUAAAAAUUAUAGCCACUAUCUUGAUAUUAUAGAGAAGCAUGAAGGUUAUAUUAAACAUAAUAUCAAGAAAAUUAUAGAUAAUGCAGCAAUUUUUAGGGAUACUAAAAAUCUUUAAAUUCAACUGGAGAAAUGUGAGAUUUAGAUAAGAUAGAUAUGUAAAUCAAAAUUGUUAGUCAUUAAAAUAAUGUAAACUGCGCUUCAAUAUACUGUUAAAAUAUUUGUAUAGGUAUUUUAAAAAAAUUAUAUUUAUAGCUACAAAGUGAUUCAACAUCAUUGUCUGAUGCAUGUGAAAUUUGGUUGUCUCUCCUGAAGGAUAAAGACCGGAAGCCAUAUUAUAUUGAAAUUAAGUUAAAAUUUGAUGAAGCAAUGGAACCUUUUCAUUUUUUAACCCAAAAUUGAAAGAACUAACCCAAAAUUUGAAAGAACAUACUUAAAACUACAUUUUUUUAACUUACAUAACACAUUAGUCGAUUCUAGACUACAGACACAAUAUAUGACUAAUAAAUAAGAUCCAUAUAGGAUAUUUAUUUCUCAUUUAUAAAAUAUAAAACAAAAAUAAUAUUCUUUAAUUUUAGGAAAAUCUUUAAGCAUUGAACAAGAAGCUGCUGCAGAAGCUUGGCUAAGCGAUAGGCACAAUGAAUAUUUGGCUGGUUACUAUGAUUUCAGGCUAAAAGUCACAACUACCUUUCCACAGCAUAUGUUUAAUGAUAACUUUAUUUCUACAAUUUCAAGUGAAAGAUGGUGGGGCUCCAUAGAAGGAGUGUUUUCUACUUUUGGUAUUGUGUGGAGCAAGUUAAGAAAUAGGUUAGGAAACGAUAGAGCUGAAUAGCUUGUUUUGAGAUUUGAGAGGCAAAGAAUUUGAUUGGUAAACAACAAUGGCCAGUCUUUUGUAAAGCUUUUGAAAUUUAAAGAAAUAUAGUUUGUAAUCUUUA